UCCGUGGGUGAGGCCGCUUGCUAUCUAAACACUUGAAAUUUAGACUCUUCUUGAGUUUGAGGAAACAAAUGGGUACGAUGUUACCAAACCAAAUGUGAUCGUUAGGUUGGAGCAGGGAGAAGAGCCAUGGAUGAUAGAAGGUGACUUGUCCUCUCACAGUUGUCCAGGAGAAGUCUGCAAAGCUGGUGACCUAGUAGAGGACAUUGAAGGCAAGCAUUUGAGGCAAGCUGUCGACAUCAACAACCAAGACCUGCUGGAAGACAGAGGGUGUGCAUUUGAAAAAAUGUGCAAUGUAGAAUCUCUCCUUGUUUCACCAAGCAUGAUAGCUCACAGUUGUGUCUCCUGUGGAAAGAAUUUAGAAUCUAUUUCAGAAUUAAUUAGUAGUGAUGGAAGCUAUGCAACAAAGAGAUUUGGAGAGUGCAUUGAAUGUGGAAAAACAUACGGAGAGACACCCUAUGAGUUUAAUCAAAAUAGGGAUGUCUGUUCUCAAAGUGAGGAAAGUGUUCUCCGGGAAAGAGCAUCUGGGAUUUCAUAAGAAAAGAAAUCUGUCGGAAGGCUAAGAGGGAUGAAGAGGAGUCAGUGGCAUGGAGUGGUCAGGCAAGGGGGUUUCAGGAUUUCCUAAGCAGACAUCAAAUCGCCCUGGGCACACUGCAAGGACACAGAGGUACCUUUACUCAGCCCGAGGACAUUAGGAUGCUUGCUCUGCAGACUGCUAGGGCAGGUGGGUGCAGUCUCCCCCCAUAUCCUCAGCUCUGGUACAUAACACUGGAUCUGGAAAGAAAAAGGCUCCCUGAACCAGUGCU